rnacentral:pre_miRNA from 1 species
AGCUUUUCAAACCCGUGUAGAGAUUUUGUCAAAUACCAACCCAUUAGGGCUGAUCAAACUUCUAAGAUAAGUGAAGUC